UACGUAGGGUGCGAGCGUUGUCCGGAAUUAUUGGGCGUAAAGGGCUCGUAGGCGGUUUGUCACGUCGGGAGUGAAAACUCGGGGCUUAACCCCGAGCCUGCUUCCGAUACGGGCAGACUAGAGGUAUGCAGGGGAGAACGGAAUUCCUGGUGUAGCGGUGAAAUGCGCAGAUAUCAGGAAGAACACCGGUGGCGAAGGCGGUUCUCUGGGCAUUACCUAACGCUGAGGAGCGAAAGUGUGGGGAGCGAACAGG
rnacentral:rRNA from 1 species